ACAUGGAGGCGGUCGGCGUGCUGGACACUGUGCUACCUGUCUCACGGUGACUGUGCCCAGCACAGGGCAGCAUUGUACUGUAUUAUUGGCAUAUUUGGCUCGGAAACGCAGACGCCAAACCACUCCUUCAAAUGUUGAACAUUGUGCUGAUGUUGCAGAAGGUCCAUCCCGCCAUCAUCCGACUGCGCAAAUGCGCACAGGCCACAGAUCCACAACGCGUCAACACGUGGCACAGAAAAGACCAUGACAGGAUCUGCCCAGAGCACAAUCUGCCUCUCCACCAACGCAACGCAUCAGUACGGUCGCAUCAAGGCCGCCGUCUGAUUUCCUUGCGUCCUCCCCACCACUUCAACUGCAGUCCCCUCAAAUUCCAGAUCAAGGCAACAUGCCCCCUGCACACCAGUCAGAUGAAAUGGAGGAAACUUAUGUCCUUAACCUGCAGCCGGUAGACCCGACAACACCAAGCUCGCCACCUAUGGCUGGUCCUCCGCCUCCAACCACUCCACCACCACAAUUGAGCACAGCCACACCACCGCCACAAAACACAUUCCAGGCCUUUUGUGACAGCUGGACAACCCAGCAACCACAACAUAUGGAGUGUCUUCGCAGACAGACCCAGCUGCUGUCAAGUCUUCCCCAUUAUCUCCCCAGAUUAAGUCGCACUAUGUGCAGACAAAAUUCUGAACUCAGCAGAAUUGCCACAUGCAUGGAACAAAUGCGGGCUGAUACCAGUAACAUGAUGCUCACCAUGGCCAGGAUUAUGGACGACCAAAUGAGGCAACAUCAGAACUACCUCAAUCUCCUUGAUUCAAACAAUCGACUAUGUGAAAGUCUAGCCAGAAUAAUAGAAAAUAGCACGUCAUCAAACAUCCAACUGAAUGCAACAUUAAGCAACCUCAGCCACAAUAUUGUCAACCUACGCAAUCAACAAGCGAGCACAAGCUCUGAAACCACAAGACCGUUAACUACGCCUAUUUCAUCCCCAGUUAGAAGAUCAAGAAGAAGAGCUAAUGUCCCUGGCCCCGACUCUGCCGGAUCUAAGGGCCACACCAAAAAAAAUUUUUAAGCAGCAACAGGUGUUGGGUUGUUAGGGGGGUAAAGAUUAUCUGUGUUUCUAUUUUAUAUUUUUGAUUAUUUUCUAAACAAAAAAUAAACACAUUUGU